UACAGAGGUCUCAAGCGUUGUUCGGAUUCAUUGGGCGUAAAGGGCGCGUAGGCGGUCGUGACAAGUCACUUGUGAAAUCUCCGGGCUUAACUCGGAACGGUCAAGUGAUACUGUCGGACUAGAGUACAGAAGGGGCAACUGGAAUUCUCGGUGUAGCGGUGAAAUGCGUAGAUAUCGAGAGGAACACCUGCGGCGAAGGCGGGUUGCUGGGCUGAUACUGACGCUGAGGCGCGAAAGCCAGGGGAGCGAACAGG
rnacentral:rRNA from 1 species